CUGAUCCGAGCUGAGCCCGCUUUGCUGGCUUCCAUUCCACCCACCCAGCCAUUCAUUUCCGACCGCCCUCCAUUGUUGACUGGCGAGGCGCUCCAUUGACAGGUUAGCCCAGAGCUCUUUCCCUUCGUCUCCUCCCUUCUCCCUCACCAGGGCAGCACCAGACAGAUCUAUCGGGGGAGUACAACACCACCUCACCGGCGAUGGAAGGCCGCUUGCUAGAUGUCGGCCAAGGGAAGGAGCACACGCCGCCGGCGGCGGCGGCGACAGGAGCACAUCGCACUCGCUACUUGGUCGCGGUAUUUCUACUUGCCUUGUCAAUUGCUUAUGCUGCCGUCGUUCUCGACGUGGCCGACAUGUACGCUCAUAGCUGGAUUGAAAAGCUGCAGAUGCUGCCGCUCUGCAUCCUUGCUGUCGCAGCACCAAUGCUUUGGGUGAUCAUGUUCCGAAAAUUUCAAGAUGCAGAGGGGAAGGGAGGGAGGACACGGUUGUGAAUUGUGCUCCAUCUUGUGCUGCAGAGUAGUAGGAGACUGUUGUAAUCAGUUCAUGCUUAAUUAGCCUUGUGAUCGAAGGUGGACUGUACAUUUUCAUAUAACUGUCACUCUGACAGCACAAUUACUCUAACGGGAGUAAAACCCAGCUUUUAUAAAAAGAUUACUAUAUGUUUGUAAUAUCCGUUCAAUUCUACCGAUUUUAUUGACGAAAAAAAAGUACGGAUUAUAUUGCUA